UUUUAACGGAGAGUUUGAUUCUGGCUCAGAACGAACGCUGGCGGCGUGGAUAAGACAUGCAAGUCGGACGGGAUUACUUUUGGUAGCAAUACC
rnacentral:rRNA from 1 species